rnacentral:rRNA from 1 species
GACGAACGCUGGCGGCGUGCUUAACACAUGCAAGUCGAACGGAAAGGCCCCUUUGGGGGUACUCAAGUGGCGAACGGGGGAGUAACACGUGAGUAACCUGCCCUUGACUUCGGGAUAACUUCAGGAAACUGGGGCUAAUACCGGAUAGGAAUCCUUGCUGCAUGGUGGGGGUUGGAAAGCUACGGCGGUUUUGGAUGGAUUCGCGGUCUAUCUGCUUGUUGGUGGGGUAGUGGCUUACCAUGGCUUUGACGGGUAGCCGGCCUGAGGGGGCGACCGGCCACGUGGGGGCUGGGGCACCGCCCGGUAUCCUUCGUGAGGCAGCAAGUUAGAAUGUUGCUCAAUGGCCGGAAGCCUGAUGCUGUUACGCCCCGUGCGGGAUGAAGGCCUUCGGAUUGUAAACCGCUUUCAGCAGGGGCGAGGCUUUUGGUGACGGUACCUUCAGAAGAAGCACCGGCUAACUACGUG